CCUACGGGUGGCUGCAGUGAGGAAUAUUGGUCAAUGGCCGGAAGGCUGAACCAGCCAUGCCGCGUGAAGGUCAGUGCCCUAUGGGCUUUAAACUUCUUUUGUGCGGGAGCAAUAAUGGUCACGUGUGGCCAGACGAGAGUACCGUACGAAUAAGCGUCGGCUAACUCCGUGCCAGCAGCCGCGGUAAUACGGGGGAUGCAAGCGUUAUCCGGAUUUAUUGGGUUUAAAGGGUGCGUAGGCUGUGAGGUAAGUCAGCGGUGAAAUGCCCCCGCUCACCGGGGUGAAGGGCCAUUGAUACUGCCUGGCUUGAAUGCGGAUGACGUGGGAGGAAGGGGUGGUGUAGCGGUGAAAUGCAUAGAUAUCACACAGAACACCGAUUGCGAAGGCAUCUCACGAAUCCGCGAUUGACGCUGAUGCACGAAAGCGUGGGUAUCAAACAGGAUUAGAUACCCGAGUAGUC
rnacentral:rRNA from 1 species